CGGAUCUUCCGCUCAUAGAGUUUAUUCUUCCACAAAGUGUGUUUAUUUUUCAUGCGGGUAUGCAACAUACAUCACAUGUCAAGUUCCAAUGGUGUCAUCAAAGGCUUUAUUUACAUGUUUUUCUCAUUUGCUAGGACAGGUUGAUCCAGGAGAUGGAUGUUAUUUGUUCGUGCUUGUGCUUUUUAUUAAGUUGAUGUUUGGGCCUAGCCUCACCAAAACUUUCUAUAUUGCAGAUUCACUCCUUUCUAUAGGACUGUACUAAAGCAAAAUCACGAUGACACUUUUUGGAUGAAGGAUUUGAUGUUCAAACUGCUAGAUAUGGUAAGCAAGACACAGGUGGACCGAGGCUCAUGUGCCUGGCUACUCCUUGCUCUUUUGGUGCUCAAAAGGAGAUUACCAGGCCGCCGCUCGCGAGCGACCACAUAUCCUUCCUUGCAGUGUUGAGCAGGAGGUUUGCAGGCCACCGCUGGCCUCUGCCUCUCCAUCCUCCCUGAGGUUGGACUAGAGUUCUGCGGGCACGGCUCACAUCGUUACUCCUCCGCCUCUUUGUCCUCCUCGACGCUUAACAGGAGGGGCACAUGCUACCUCCAAACAUCAUCAGAAGGUGAUGCCUCAGUCGCUGGCAUAUAGAAGAACAAGAUUCACAUAAGGUUUAUCUGAACAAGGAAUAGUACUCUGGAAGAUCUAUCAAGAUGUUACUUGUUCUUGCUCGCACUCAUUUCUCAUGUUAUUAUUCUGGCCUAGCCUGACCAAACUUUUCUACACAUUAACAUAUAGUGAGGGUGAGUAAUUCAGGGAAUGCUUAUUUUAAUUUUCUUAUUAUUUUCAGAGAUACCAUACAAUAACCAUUUGUAUACAAAACCUGUGGUGGCACAUGUUUUGGUCGUUUACUAUUUCUAGGCAUCACGUACUACUAAUCUUGGUCUGUAUUUUUGUUGAGGCAAAGGAGGUGAGAGCUCUGAAAUAAAUCUGUUACUUAUGUUAAGUUUCCCAUAUUCUUUGCGUGCUUAAUAGAUAUUGUCCUAAAUCUGACCAUAUCAAAUUAGGCUUAAGCAUGGUCUUGUUUUCAUGGUAUUUUUCUUUUAUCUUUUGAGGCAGCUUAUCUGAAAACUGAUCUGGUGAACACGAUGAUGAGGCUUUAAUCGUGCAUGUACUGCUCUAUGCUGGACCAUUUGGCGUAUUUCAUUGUACUUUGUUUACUGUUCCAAGUUGAUGAUGUUCCAUUGAAUUAUGCUUUCGGUUCCAAUCGAUUGUGUAAGAGUUUAGCUUCUGCUUCCUAUUCCAAGUGAUGUAGUACAUGCUCACUUGACGCAUGAAGAGAUCACAUGGAUCCAUGGACUAGAAUCUGUUAAUUUUCUAGGAUAGAAUCAAGCUCCAUGAAAAAAAUCUCAGUAUGCAUAGUUAUAAGGUGUCAUCCAUAUAAGUCAUUUUUUCUGGUUAUUCUUGAUCGGAUACAGUUCUCUUUCCAUGCAUAAGAGCAGAUACUGAACACAUUUUAAAUAGGUCUGUCA